CAGACUCCUUGUGAUAUCUUGGCCCAGUAACAAUGUCACUGUACCUGAGCUCCCUGUGUGGCACUGCUCUGCUGCAUGAAGAUAGCUACAUUAAAGGUUGUGAAGUGCUCAGGCACUAUGGUGAUGGUGGCCAUAGACGUACUAAUAAAGCUCUUAAAGGAAAACUCUGCUUGACCCUAAUCUUCAUUGCAUGCUGCCAUUACAGAGGAACUUUCAACUGAGGAUCUGAUUUAGGAAGGUACCAGAAGAGCUAGCCUUUCUGAAGGCUUGCAAUUACAGCCCUGGCCCUCUGCUGCUCAGGUCCUGGACUCUUGGGACCUGUCCUAGUCUGACGGCCAUAAGCCAGUGAGGUUGGCAUGGAGAUAGCUUGAAGACUGCGUAUACAGUAUUGCAUGAGGAAGUUUGCAUGCAGAGGAAAAGAAGAAACCAUAGCAACAGUGGGGGUCCUUUGGACUUAACACUCCACAGACAAGGCCUUGAUGUUAACAUUCUGCCUGCACUCAGUUUGGACAAUCCUCAGUAAAUCUUGUUAAGAGUCCCAGUUUCCCCCCGGCUUCCCCUCGGCCCAAGCUCCACACACCCACACACCCCUUCUGUUCCCUGACCUGCAGUUAGAAAAGUGGUUUCCAGAAGAUGGAAUCAGUCACAGUCCUGUGUUCCCAUCUUCUCUGUGCAAAGGAAGAGGUGGUGGUGAAGGGCGGGGGCUGAGGGCGAGGGGGCAAUCCUGUUAACAAACCUUGGCUAAACAGGCUGCCUCAGGCCUUCCACACAGAGUCUGUUCCCCUGCAUUGAUAUUGAAAUAAGGUGCAAUCCAUCACGCUAGGAACAGGCCCCUUUCACAGAGGCUGAAAAGAGCCACUAUCAAAAGGAGGGAGAAAAACUUGUUAAGGGGAAGGCCAGACUAAAGCAUGGCAGGUGUGUUAUGGAGAGGGAGCCUGUUGGAAUGAGAGGGUGAUUCAUUGCCCUUGUCAGGGGAACAGCUUCAUGAUCUUGCCAGGAAGGGCUCUGUCAGGCAGCAGCAGAGCCCUGUAUGCAGCUCCAAGGUGGUGGCGAGGUGCCCCUUGGUAUCGGGAAGGCAACAGGAGAAUGAUCAGAUGCAGAGGAAUGGGGAGACAGCUGGCUCUGUGCAGGCCCAGAGAGAGCACUGGCAUGUGGGAUGGAAAAUCGCCUUUUUUUGUUCAUAUUUAUGGGAAUCCCCUUUCUGUAGGCGUCUAAGUAAUUUGGAGAGUGAGAUUGGGGAAUUCUUGUACAUUUGAAAAGGUGAUGGGGACAAACAUCUACUGAGCAGGGCUAGACAGAGCCCCCCAAACUCCUUUCACUUGUAACCAGAGCCCAGGCCUCAAGAGGCAGCUUUGUGUGUUCACUCACUGCACCUCCUGGAGCCACAUAAGAGCGAGACCUUGGAUUAAUGGGCACUAGCAAAUGCUACUGUGCGAUCCCAUCACCAAAUCAACCAGUUCUAAUCCCCACCCUAAAUCCCGUUUUAAUCCAUGUUCCUGCAGUUCGCUUGGGACCACUUGGUCACCUCCUGUGUUCAAGCUCCACGUGGCAUUAGGCUGGUACCCAGUGCUGGCGCAGCAGUCAGGGAGGUGCUGCACUCGACGCUUGGUGACACACUCACCCUGUGCUGAUGGCUGGGCAGGAAGAAGUUGAAGAUCACAUAGCACUUUUUGAAAAGCUUUGCAAACCCUAUGAAAUAAAUGACUUGAGCAAUGCCAUAGACAGUGGUAGAAUUAGAACCCAGGAGCUGAUGUUGCUAAACUCUGGGCUCGAACUGCUAAACCACUGUGUAGAGUCUAAAACACCUAGUAUAUCUUAGAGUCCAUUCCCCUAAUAAGGGUGGGCUAUAUCAGACAAUCAGUGGUCUCUACAAAACAGAUCCUAACAUCCAAUGCUAUGUACAACACGAGCCACUGCUAACCACACAAAGGCAAUGGCAUUGCCAUAUGCAGUCACUGCACUCCCAGUGUCUAACUACCUGAAACCAGGUGCAAUGGGAAACUUUAAGCCCUAGCAAACUAGAGAUAGGCCUGAACCAAAACACCCGGAUGGGAAAACCAACACAGUUUGGGGGAGCAGGGCGGUCUCUGACUCCAGAUCCAGAGCUGAAAUUCCUAGCAAGCCCUUUGCCUACUAUGGGCUGAACUCAAACCUAGGACUCAAACACUCUUGAACUUUGGAGUAUUCAAGACCCAGGUCUCAGUUUGGUAGGUCUGGCCCACCUUUGUAAAAAAAACAAUAGAAUUUGUUCUACGCCACUAAGGGCCAGGUCUUGCUCUGAGUAACACUGGGGUCACUCCAGAGUAACUCCAUUUCUGUCAGCAUAGUUACUCCAGACUCACACCAGGUUUGUUCCCAAGUCUCUAUAUUCAAUGAACACUUGGCCUCAGUUCUACCCGCCUGGAUGCCAUCAAUGAGCCUUCCUGAGAAUGCUGAAUGACCAUUGAGAUCCAAUUAUAUCCAAUCCACCAGCAGCUGCUGUUUAUUUACUAGGCUGCUUCCUACCUAUGAAAGACAGAGCAAGGGGACGACGUGCUUCUCAUAUCCGUUGAAGGUGCAGCUAACAAGGAGAUGUGGUGCACUGGCAGGGCCAUUGUUCUGAAGCUAACAGAACUGACUGUGACACUGGAUAUUUCCUCCUCUAAGCUGUAAACAUUGUCAGGCCCUCGCUGCAGCAGGUUUGGCCUUUCCCACAGCAGACAAUGCUGAUAUGUGGGCUAGGGCCCUGGGGAAGCCCACAUCUGCCGGCAGAGGAGGGCCGCCAGCUAGAGUGUCCUGUGGGAGAGGGGGCUGG